rnacentral:misc_RNA from 1 species
AAAAAAAAAAAAACAAAAUUUAAACAUUAUGAUCAAAAAAUGGAAGAUUCAAGCUUAUUUUAGCAUCGAAAUGGACAGACCGAGAUUCAAUUUUCUGAAAUUUACCAGAAUUUUCUAACACACCAAAGAAGAAUAAAGCAAGAAUAUGCAUAUGAUAAUCGAAAAUGGAUCAAGAUCGCCAAAACGAGCAGUGAAAGUAGCAGUUUCGUAUAAGAGAAAGAAAAUGUACCUCUCAAGUGUAGCAACGAAGAUUCAGACAAUAGCCAGGCGAGGAAGCCGCCAACGAAAUUUCGUG